CCGAUGAGGAGCGGGGUAUAAUUGACAUUUGGGUAUGGGUACAUUAAACCUCAUACAUGUUGGAUCGUUUUAUGAUGUUCAUAGCGUUUUUUAUGAUGUUCAUAGCGUUAGGUUUGGCUUAAAAACUGCAAUUAAAAAUUUAUUUAGGUGUAUGACUUUUUUAGUUUAAGUAUGUAGUUUGUUUUAUGUAUAAUAAAAAAUAAUAUUCAUUCUGAUUAUUUUUGUUAUCUUAUUUCCUGUCUAACGUUUUUUUCUUGUAAAUUUAUGAAUCAAAAAUUUUAUAAAUAUCCAGUUGUAUUUGAUUAUUAAUUUAUCGUUACAAUCAUUUUCCCCAAAAAAUUUAUAUCCAAUAGUUUACAAACAAUAUAUACAUUUCUAAUAGUUAAAACACAUUUAUACAUCUUUUAUAAAAAAAGUGGAUUUGUUUAAUUGAAAUAGGUAAAAAUUCAUAUCCAAAACCUUAAUUAAUUACUGGGCGGUUAACAUUUUUUACCAAAAGAUUUUGAAGAAUUUACAACAAUUUAUCAUAAACCCUCAACAGAUGAUAUAGUAAUUAUUGUAAAAGCUGAAGUUUAUAUUUUUUUCAUUAUCUACUUUUAGAUUUAAAACUAAUUAUCCGAAAUCUAUAAGCGAAGAAUUUAAAAUAUCAAGUCCAAUUUCGGCAGCGAUAACAACUUACUCAGGUGGUAUUUAUCUUUUUCUCAGAGAUAAUACAUAUAUUACAUUAUCUAGUUGCAUCUCUGGAUAUAAUGUUCCUGGUUUAACAAACGAAUUAUUUGAAGGUGUUCCUAAUAAAAUAACAAGGACAUUUAGAUAUUUAAACGGAAAGCUGUACUUUUUUAAUGAAAAUAAUUACUUUGAAUAUGAUGAGUUUACUAAGAGUGUCAUACAAGCGGGACCUAAAACUUUAUCUAUAUUUAACAUUAAUUGUCCGCGAGAACCCAUCUUAAUUCAAUUGAAAAAAUUAUCUUUUAAAAAGAUUAUUACACACAAUGCAGUCCUGGUUGAAAAUUUAACAGAUUAUACUCGUGAAGAAGAUAGUUGGUGUAGUUGGUGUAUUCAUCAGUGUUUGUUUACAGUAAGUUUAUAUUACAACUUAAUAAAACGUUCUUUCUAAACAUCUAAUUUAAACAUCUAAUUUCAGCUUCAGACCUACAAAAGUUGUGCCAAAAAGACGCAUCGUAAGUUUAUCGAAAAUAUUGACUUCGGCACAAGUUCUUCAUCCACAAAUUCUUCCGAUUCAGACUACUGAAUUCUUCUCUAAAACCAACAUAAAUAAUCUUUUUUUGGUAAAUUCUUUAAUUUUUUAAAUUUGUUUACCACAUUUGAUUGCUAAAAAUGUGUUUAAUUUUUUAGGAAAAUUUUUAUCAAAUUUUUAUCAAACAAAAAGUGCGUCACAAAAUUCCUACGAUAAGGAAAGCGUGUUAUCUGUUAACCGCAAAAAUUGAUUAUAAAAGUUCCGUUUUUUACACAUUUCACCAGUUUUAUUAAAACUAUCUUUGUGAGAAGUUGUAUGUGCUCCGCUGUGUAUUUUUGCAUUUAAAUUUCAAAGGAUUCUGUAAUGGCUGAUCAACUAUUAAAUCUGAAUAAAAUUGCUGCCUGUGAAUAUACUGAUACAUAUGUCAGUGCCAACGAUUUGGAAGUGAACAAGAAAUAUAAAAUCAUCAAUUUAACCAAGGCAAACACACAACAUGGGGUUAUGAUGGUAGCAUAUCUGGACAACGUCGGUAAAGUUUUUUUACCUAAACGACUAACAGCAGUUAUGAAUGAUACCAUAAUUACGACACUAAUGGAAGGACUCGGAUCUUAUUUGAUUUAUAUGGGACGUAAGCAAGCUAAUGGAAAUCA